rnacentral:ncRNA from 1 species
GUACGGGUGCCCUCGUCGGGAGACGCGGGCCUUAAAAGGGAACGCGGUGAAACACCGCGGCAGCCCCCGCUACCGUAAGGACGUCGUCCGCCGCAACAGGCCACUGCGCGCUUUCCGCGUGCGGGAAGGCGCGGCGGACCGCAGGAACCGUGUUCCGCACCGUCCGAGCCGGGAGACCUGCCCGUAC